UACGGGGGGGGCAAGCGUUGUUCGGAAUUACUGGGCGUAAAGGGCUCGUAGGCGGCCAACUAAGUCGGAUGUGAAAUCCCCAGGCUCAACUUGGGAACUGCAUCCGAUACUGGAUGGCUUGAAUUCGGGAGAGGGAUGCAGAAUUCCAGGUGUAGCGGUGAAAUGCGUAGAUAUCUGGAGGAAUACCGGUGGCGAAGGCGGCAUCCUGGACCGACAUUGACGCUGAGGAGCGAAAGCUAGGGGAGCAACAGGG
rnacentral:rRNA from 1 species